rnacentral:rRNA from 1 species
AUUGAACGCUAGCGGGAUGCUUACACAUGCAAGUCGAACGAGUGGCGGACGGGUGAGUAAUAUCUCGGAACGUGCCCAGUAGCGGGGGAUAACUACUCGACAGAGUGCUAUACCGCAUACUAUUGGAGCGGCCGAUAUCGGAGUAGCUAGGUGGUGGGGUAAAGGCUCACCAAGGCCACGAUCCGUAGCUGGGUUGAGAGGACGACCAGCCACCCUGGGACUGAGACACGGCCCAGACGCCUACGUGAGGCAGCAGUGGGGAAUUUUGGACAAUGGGGGCAACCCUGAUCCAGCCAGCCCGCGUGUGUGAAGAAGGCUGCGGGUUGUAAAGCACUUUCAGCGAGGAGGCGUUACUCGCAGAAGAAGCACCGGCUAACUCCGUGCCAGCCGCCGCGGUAAUUC